CUGCUUUUUUUUUUUUUUUUUUUUUUUUUUUUUUUUUUUUUUUUUUUUUUCCCCCCGACUUUGCUUUUUUUUUUUUUUUUUUUUUUUUUUUUUUUUUUUUUUUUUUAAA